UAAGGGAUCUUGCGACAAUGGGCGAAAGCCUGACGCAGCAACGCCGCGUGCGGGAUGACGGCCUUCGGGUUGUAAACCGCUUUUCGGGGGGAAGAGGAAGGACGGUACCCCCGGAAGAAGUCUCGGCUAACUACGUGCCAGCAGCCGCGGUAAAACGUAGGAGGCGAGCGUUAUCCGGAUUUACUGGGUGUAAAGCGCGUGUAGGCGGUCCUGCAAGUGGCGCGUGAAAGCGCCCGGCUCAACCGGGCGAGGACGUGACCGAACUGCGGGGCUAGAGGCAGGUAGAGGCGUGUGGAAUUCCGGGUGUAGUGGUGAAAUGCGUAGAGAUCCGGAGGAACACCAGUGGCGAAGGCGACACGCUGGGCCUGACCUGACGCUGAGAGGCGAAAGCAUGGGGAGCGAACGGG
rnacentral:rRNA from 2 species